rnacentral:rRNA from 1 species
AGAGUUUGAUCAUGGCUCAGGAUGAACGCUCGGCGGCGUGCUUAAUACAUGCAAGUCGAGCGAACCACUUCGGUGGUGAGCGGCGAACGGGUGAGUAACACGUAGGUGAUCUGCCCAUCAGACGGGGACAACGAUUGGAAACGAUCGCUAACACCGGAUAGGACGAAAGUUUAAAGGUGCUUCUGGCACCGCUGAUGGAUGAGCCUGCGGCGCAUUAGCUAGUUGGUAGGGUAAAGGCCUACCAAGGCGACGAUGCGUAGCCGACCUGAGAGGGUGAACGGCCACACUGGGACUGAGACACGGCCCAGACCCCUACGGGAGGCAGCAGUAGGGAAUCUUCGGCAAUGGGCGAAAGCCUGACCGAGCAACGCCGCGUGAAUGAUGAAGGCCUUCGGGUUGUAAAAUUCUGUUAUAAGGGAAGAACGACUUUAGUAGGAAAUGGCUAGAGUGUGACGGUACCUUAUGAGAAAGCCACGGCUAACUACGUGCCAGCAGCCGCGGUAAUACGUAGGUGGCGAGCGUUAUCCGGAAUUAUUGGGCGUAAAGAGCGCGCAGGUGGUUGAUUAAGUCUGAUGUGAAAGCCCACGGCUUAACCGUGGAGGGUCAUUGGAAACUGGUCGACUUGAGUGCAGAAGAGGGAAGUGGAAUUCCAUGUGUAGCGGUGAAAUGCGUAGAGAUAUGGAGGAACACCAGUGGCGAAGGCGGCUUCCUGGUCUGUAGCUGACACUGAGGCGCGAAAGCGUGGGGAGCAAACAGGAUUAGAUACCCUGGUAGUCCACGCCGUAAACGAUGAGUGUUAAGUGUUGGGGGUCGAACCUCAGUGUCUGAAGUU